UGCAUGUGAGUGUUGAGGUGGUCUUGGAGGCCCAUACUAGCUACAGCAAUUCCCAACUCGCCUGCUAAUUCCUUUGAAAUUUAAGUUCCUUAAAUGCCAUCGUGACAAGAUGGCCCAGGGCAUUGGAAGUGGCAAAAGACCCACCCACGAAAACUAGGACUUGGGCAAGUAGCAAUAUGUUGUGUCGAGCAUAGGUUUCCAAGUGAGUGGGCUUUUGUGCCAAAGAAAGCUUUCACUCCAACAAUUGGCCUCUCAAUAGUAUACUAGAAUC
rnacentral:lncRNA from 1 species